UCGUCAGACACCGCCGAAGCCAGCGAGACCGGCAGCGCGUCUGAGCGUUGGCCUGUUCGGUGAACCGUCUGCCUGCGUUUCUAUUUUUGGAUUUAGCCUGGUUUGGUGGGCUCCCGGGGAAUUCUUGCGUUCCUUCGGAACUACGACAUGGUAUACAACUGCACUAUUGGACUACAGCAAGCUGACGUCGUCCGGUGGAGCUUCGUACAGGAACUACUGCUGCUUACCUGGUGCCACAACGUUGGAUGAAUGCACAAAAAGCUCGAAGCGAGCAGUUAUAUAUAAAAUAUAGGUUUCCUCGUUUCACAA